rnacentral:lncRNA from 1 species
CUAGAUAAAGGCCAGGAAGACCCCAAUAAAUAUGUCAAACUGCAGGCCAGGAAGACCCCAAUAAUAUAGAAUUGUCAAAGUUCCAAGAAUAGUAGGAAGCAGAUAAGAGCCAUACAUGCAGGCAAAAUUCCAAGGAUGGUAUGUAGUAGAUAAGGGGCUGGAAGACCGUACAUGCUGAAAAGUAUUUAAAGCCCAGCCUGUCAGAAGCAACUUGGAGCUCUGAUGGCAGAGGUUCCCACUGAUGCACGUAUCAGUUCCACAAUAAAGGGCUUUCUCCUUGCCUAAUUACAUUGUCUGUGGACUUCCUUGGUGGUGGAUGAAAACCCGGACCUUAACAUUUGGGAGCUCACCGGUACCCCUCCACCUUGGAACCCAGACCUUCAGCAGCAAGGAAGCUGGCUGAUACCAAAGGAGGAGCCUGCCAGAGGACAAAAGUGUGUGAGAGAGGAGGCUGAAGGCAUCAUCAGGACCCACCAGAUGUGAAAGACUUAAGACUUUGGGAAAUGG